rnacentral:tmRNA from 1 species
GGGGGCGAAUUGGAUUCGACCGGACAGGUUGAGGUGGAAGUGGCGUGCCGUGGCUGAUCAGCGGCCCACGUAAAAAGCUGAUCAAAACUUUACGUGCCAACCACAACUUGGCCCUGGCUGCCUAAUAGCUGCAGCCCCGACUGAGGGAGCUCGUCGGAGGUUCCCGACUGUCGGCUGACCUAUCCGACUCGUUCCGGGUCAUUGUCGGGCACGCCCGGAAUUAAAUUCCGUUCCCGACUGGCCGGCCGAUCACCCUGUCGGUUGGGGGAUCUGUCGGCGAGAUACAAAAAACCGACUACGCACGUAGAAGCUUCCACUGAAAUGUCGCGGGACGCGGGUUCGAUUCCCGCCGCCUCCAA